rfam:Cellulomonas bogoriensis 69B4 = DSM 16987 strain 69B4 contig75, whole genome shotgun sequence.
UCCGGUCCUCGGUAGUGGCUCGCGGAACCCGGCGACCGGCCGGGCUCCGAGGACCUCGAUCGAUGACCGCC